rnacentral:rRNA from 1 species
GAUGAACGCUGGCGGCGUGCCUAACACAUGCAAGUCGAACGGAGAUUACGGACGGAAGUUUUCGGAUGGAAGCCUGUAAUUCUUAGUGGCGGACGGGUGAGUAACGCGUGGGCAACCUGCCCUAUACAGGGGGAUAGCAGCUGGAAACGGCUGGUAAGACCGCAAAAGUCGGUUAAAUCGCAUGAUUUGAUCGGGAAAUGAGCAAUCAGGUAUAGGAUGGGCCCGCGUCCGAUUAGCCAGUUGGCAGGGUAAAAGCCUACCAAAGCGACGAUCGGUAGCCGGACUGAGAGGUCGGACGGCCACAUUGGGACUGAGACACGGCCCAAACUCCUACGGGAGGCAGCAGUGGGGGAUAUUGCACAAUGGAGGAAACUCUGAUGCAGCGACGCCGCGUGAGUGAAGAAGUAUUUCGGUAUGUAAAGCUCUAUCAGCAGGGAAGAUGAUGACGGUACCUGAAUAAGAAGCCCCGGCUAACUACGUG